rnacentral:rRNA from 1 species
UACGAAGGGGGCUAGCGUUGUUCGGAAUUACUGGGCGUAAAGCGCGCGUAGGCGGCCCAAUAAGUUGGAAGUGAAAGCCCAGGGCUCAACCUUGGAAUUGCUUUCAAAACUAUUAGGCUAGAGUAUGGUAGGGGAUAGUGGAAUUCCUAGUGUAGGGGUGAAAUCCGUAGAUAUUAGGGGGAACACCAGAGGCGAAGGCGGCUAUCUGGACCAUUACUGACGCUAAUGUGCGAAAGCGUGGGGAGCGAACAGG